AGGCAAUCUGCACCACAAACAUAAUGAAGACUGUGUUCUAGUAGUGAUCUCGUACAUAGGGAUCUUUUCUCAGCAGUAGCCUUAGCUGUCAGAUCUGCCCUGCUAGCUGCCAUACUGCUGGGGGGCUCAGUCUGCAUCCCAGUGCUGGUAAGGGAGAUGCGGCAAGGAUCCCUCAGCUGCCUGUCUGCAGGGAAGAGAAUGGUCACCAUGGCAAUGGGCGAGGUAUGGUGACGCAAUUGGUGGGUAUCUUCAUACCGGACCCGCACUGUGCAGUGGCUACACGUGGUGAUGUAAGUUCCGGGGACCUGACGUCACAAUCCCCCAAGCAUGAAAACUAAAGAUGGCGCAAUCCUCCACAAUCUGCAAAUCAACCAUGGGCC